AUUGAACGCUGGCGGCAGGCUUAACACAUGCAAGUCGAGCGAGCGGCGGACGGGUGAGUAAUGUCUGGGAAACUGCCUGAUGGAGGGGGAUAACUACUGGAAACGGUAGCUAAUACCGCAUACCAUCAGAUGCGCCCAGAUGGGCGUAGCUAGUAGGUGGGGGAAUGGCUCACCUAGGCGACGAUCCCUAGCUGGGCUGAGAGGAUGACCAGCCACACUGGGACUGAGACAAGGUCCAGACUCGUACGUGAGGCAGCAGUGGGGAAUAUUGCAAAAGGGGCGAAAGCCUGAUGCAGCCAUGCCGCGUGUGUGAAGAAGGCUUUCGGGUUGUAAAGCACUUUCAGCGAGGAGGCGUUAAUCGCAGAAGAAGCACCGGCUAACUCCGUGCCAGCAGCCGCGGUAAUUC
rnacentral:rRNA from 1 species